rnacentral:rRNA from 1 species
UACGUAGGGUGCAAGCGUUGUCCGGAAUUAUUGGGCGUAAAGAGCUCGUAGGCGGUUUGUCGCGUCUGCUGUGAAAACUCGGGGCUUAACCCCGGGCCUGCAGUGGGUACGGGCAGACUGGAGUACUGCAGGGGAGACUGGAAUUCCUGGUGUAGCGGUGGAAUGCGCAGAUAUCAGGAGGAACACCGGUGGCGAAGGCAGCUCGCUGGGACGGUACUGACGCUGAGACGCGAAAGCGUGGGGAGCAAACAGG